CGGCAGGCCUAACACAUGCAAGUCGAGCGGUAACAGGAAGGAAGCUUGCUUUCUUUGCUGACGAGCGGCGGACGGGUGAGUAAUGCCUGGGAAAUUGCCCUGAUGUGGGGGAUAACCAUUGGAAACGAUGGCUAAUACCGCAUGAUGCCCUUGUUUAUAAUGAACAGGGACCAAAGAGGGGGACCUUCGGGCCUCUCGCGUCAGGAUAUGCCCAGGUGGGAUUAGCUAGUUGGUGAGGUAAUGGCUCACCAAGGCGACGAUCCCUAGCUGGUCUGAGAGGAUGAUCAGCCACACUGGAACUGAGACACGGUCCAGACUCCUACGGGAGGCAGCAGUGGGGAAUAUUGCACAAUGGGCGCAAGCCUGAUGCAGCCAUGCCGCGUGUAUGAAGAAGGCCUUCGGGUUGUAAAGUACUUUCAGUCGUGAGGAAGGGGGUAUCGUUAAUAGCGGUAUUCUUUGACGUUARCGACAGAARAGCA
rnacentral:rRNA from 1 species